CAGGGAUGAAGGCAAGCUGUCCCCUAGCUGAUCAGCUGGUUGGUGAGGACUCUUCACGAAGUCAGGGACCAUUGUGAAGAUGGAAGAAUGCCCACAAAAUCCAGCUUGAAACCUGCUGGCUCAGCAGUGCUGGUAACCAAGAAGUAUUGCAGGCCCAGGAUAACUCAGCACUCAUGAUCAGCUGUCAAGCUCUAACGGAGUGUUGAGGCAGUCCCUGAAACCACAGCGCCAUUUUGUAGGAACUAAGAAGCCAACCUCAAGGAAUCACUCGCCCCAAGAAGACUUUGUUCUGAGCUGAUGUGUUUCUAGCCUGGUGGAGCCCCAGCUAUCCAAAGGAAGAGCUGUCAAGAAGAUUGGAACUUUGGUUUUUCCGAUUCACUCUUUUUUUCUCUCCAGCCAUCUGCCUUAAACAGCAGGAGAAAAGGAAACUCAGCCUUAAAGGUGGGGUCCUUCGGAAGGACUGACAGUGGGCUAGCUCUCCUGCUGCUGGGAACCUGAGUGCCUUUGGCUCCUUGUCCAGAGCUCAGCUUUACCACGGAGGUUACCUGCUUACCAUCAACAUCGAAACUUGCCUCUUCCCCUGGGUGUAUUCUCCCUCUUUUGUGUACAGUUUGGUUCCUCCAAACUGCUCUCCCUGUGAAGAAAGCCGAUGGAAUUCAGGGAGCCUGGCCAGCCACCCAGGCCUUUAUAAAGGUCCUCGUACCACAGGAUGUAUGGGAGACCCAAUAAAGACUUUGCAAAAUG
rnacentral:lncRNA from 1 species